GUAGGUGAACCUGCGGAAGGAUCAUUAACACGAACUUUAUCCAAUAUCAAACCAAACGUGAACUUUUCCCCUCCCUAGUCAAAUUAUUUGUCUAGGCUAACCUUUUUUUUUUAACUUUAUAUACAAUAUAUUUGUAUUGUAUAUAUUGUUUUAAACUCCUAUAACUUUAACUCUAGUUAUGUCGAGGAUUUUUCCUCUUCAAACUACUAACACUAAAAAAUGACCAUUAUCUCUUUAUUGAGUAUUGGACUUUUUUUCGAUAUUACGAAAAAUUAAGAACAACUCUUAACAAUGGAUAUCUUGGUUCUC
rnacentral:misc_RNA from 1 species